rnacentral:misc_RNA from 1 species
GGAGUUCAUUUGCAUACAUAAAACGGUCUAGGACCCAAUACAAAGCUCAGAGAUUCAACAGAUUACAUGCAAAGUGGAUACAGGAUCAAUGAAACUCAAGUUACAAAUUAAAGGCAAACUUGAAAACUAAGAGGCCCUAACUCAAAACAACAAGACCCAUAGGCCCACGACACAAGAAACCCUAAUUUAGGAGACCAGGGAAGAUGGCAACCAUCAUCUUCUCUAGGUGUAGUGUGUAGGUUGCCUAUCGCCAGUCUUCUCCAAGUGGGGAGAGUAAGAACAUCAAUUGGAAGAAAAAAUUGAAGGUCUUCCAUCUGAUUUAUAGAAGGAAACGUCAAAGCUCUAAGCCAAGUCAUACUUCCAACCAAUGACCAAAACUUCAAAGGGCCCCACUCAAGAACCAUAUUGUAGUUGUCAGAGGGAGGUGCCUGGUAGAGCUUAAAACUUCUUUGACCUUAGGAUCGGCCACUUUCAAAUGGGGAGCAUGAAAGAUCCUCGAGGUACCAAGCAACAAUUGACAUAGGAACACCCUCUAAACAGAGCUAAAACAAAAAGAACCAGUCAAGACUCAUUUAGUCGACAACCAGCGUACAUGUCCAAAAGCUGAGCUUCCUCUUUACUAAGUACACAAACCUACAAAUUAACAUCAAACAACAAAACCCAUAAAUACAUCCUUACCCAAAAGUGGAGAAGGAGAAAACCCACCUCCAGGCAAGGAACUAAGCCAUCCCCUAUUCGAAAAGGGCAGGGGAAGGCUAGACUUGGCCACCAAGCCGGUUCCUAUUU